AGAACGAACGCUGGCGGCAUGCCUAACACAUGCAAGUCGAACGCGGGGAGCAAUCUCUGCGUGGCGCACGGGUGAGUAACGCGUGGGAACCUGCCCUCGAGUGGGGGAUAACCCGGCGAAAGCCGGGGUAAUACCGCAUACGUCCCGUCGCAAGACGGGAGAAAGAUUUAUCGCUCGAGGAGGGGCCCGCGUCGGAUUAGCUAGUUGGUGAGGUAACGGCUCACCAAGGCGAUGAUCCGUAGCUGGUCUGAGAGGAUGAUCAGCCACACUGGGACUGAGACACGGCCCAGACUCCUACGGGAGGCAGCAGUGGGGAAUAUUGGACAAUGGGCGCAAGCCUGAUCCAGCAAUGCCGCGUGAGUGAUGAAGGCCUUAGGGUUGUAAAGCUCUUUCGCACGCGACGAUGAUGACGGUAGCGUGAGAAGAAGCCCCGGCUAACUUCGUGCCAGCAGCCGCGGU
rnacentral:rRNA from 1 species